rnacentral:rRNA from 1 species
AAACUAACAAGGAUUCCCCUAGUAGCGGCGAGCGAAGCGGAAGAGCUCAAAUUUAUAAUCUGGCGCUUUCGGCGUCCGAGUUGUAAUCUCUAGAAGUGUUUUCCGCGUUGGACCGCACAUAAGUCUGUUGGAAUACAGCGGCACAGUGGUGAGACCCCGUUCACGGUGCGGAUGCCAAUGCUUUGUGAUACACUUUCGAAGAGUCGAGUUGUUUGGGAAUGCAGCUCAAAUUGGGUGGUAAAUUCCAUCUAAAGCUAAAUAUUGGCGAGAGACCGAUAGCGAACAAGUACCGUGAGGGAAAGAUGAAAAGCACUUUGGAAAGAGAGUUAACAGUACGUGAAAUUGUUGGAAGGGAAACGCUUGAAGUCAGACUUGCUAUUCGGGGCUUGCUCCGAGUUGCAGGCCAGCAUCAGUUUUUCGGGGCGGAAAAUCACGGAUUGAAGGUAGCAGUUUCGGCUGUGUUAUAGCUUUCCGUUGGAUACGUCCUGGGGGACUGAGGAACGCAGUGUGCUUUUAGCGAGGGCUUCGGCUCUUUCACACUUAGAUGCUGGUGGAAUGGCUUUAAACGAC